rnacentral:ncRNA from 1 species
CCGGCUCCGGUUCACCCACAUCCGGGGGCUCCGCCCCCGGAAGCCCCCGAACGGCGAGGGGUGUGAGACCCGGCGGCC